CGCAGCCUCAUGGGACCCCGCGAGGCGGAAGUGGCUGCGACCGGCCACAGCCGCCUUCCGGUUCCCAGCAGCGCAGAGCGCCCCCUGCCGGCGGCGGCCGCGGGCGGACCCAACACGCCCUGCCCCUGGCGCGGGGCUGAAGAGGCCGCAAAGGAGGGCUGUGUGCAGGCCCGGCCCAAGGGGACGAGGACACGUUGAAGGCCGACCUCAAGGAAGUGGCUGGAGGGACAAGGUGCGAAGGACGAGCGCCCAGAGCACAGCCACCGUCUAGUCCUAGCCCCACGCACAGCCCCGACCCCGGCCCAUUGGGGGGUUGUUUUUGCAGAUGCCCCCACGCACCACGGUGCAAUUCGACGCCUGGAGCCGGCCGCGAACGCAACUGGGUGGCGGCCCGUUUCGGGGACACAGGUCACCCUGGAAGCAAGAAGAGAGCGGGGGAAGGAAGAGGAGCGCUGCCGCCACCCUGCGGGACGGCCCUGGAGGCUCCAGGAGUCAGACGAGCGCGGGACGCAGGACAUUCAUUUAAACAAACAUUAAAUGUAGAAUCUGAGUGCAGGAGGCCUACGUUUUAAACGUAGUAGCAAUGUGCGUCCGCCUUCCUUACGCGACGCCUACGCACCGUCAUCCGCAGCCGACACGCGUGAGCACGUCUGCGUUGCGUCACGAGCGCGCUGGCGUUUCGGAAACCUGGGAGAGAUUCAAAACACAAGAGUUGGCCACUCUCAUCCCAGCCUGCGUAUCAGCGAGCGGUGGUACGAGGUCACCUUCGAAUCAAAGGAUUGAUGAAGAGGAGGAAAAAUCUACCCGACAAGAACCUUUUCCCUCGCGCUCUGAUGUCAGAUAACACAACCAAACAGUAAGGAUAAGGAAAAAGGUUGAUAAGCUAAUCGCCCUCCUCUGACUGAGAAUCAGAUGCCCCUGAUCGCUUUCAUUUCCAGAUUACAAUACGUCGCCAGAGCAGGAAGCAAUUCUUGUGAAGAAGACCUAGGACUGUCACCGUCCGGGAUGGUAGAUGCCAUUUAAAAGCCAGAAGACUACAGCAUCUCCCGGCGGUCUGAUUAUGGAAGGUGCUCCACAAACAGCCACAAAAACUUACAUGCUACACUGACUGGAGUUUGACAGUCCCAGAUACAUUUUAUAGAAGCAUUUCGAAGUAGUAUACUUUUUUGGAACAAUAACAGCUCUACCAAUUAUCAAAAGUGAUAGUAUUUGGAUACCAAACAUGGGGGAAAAUGAUAGGCAAAGAUGAUUCAGAGAUAUUUAGUUAAAUAUGAAUUUGAAUUCAUAUUUUAAUGAUUUCUGGCAGCAAAAAAUCCCCCUAAUGAAAGCGAGUUUGAAAACCUGUAUCAGAUUUAACUUUGUAUUGCUUUCUUCCCUCUACUUAUGCAGCUGGAUUUUAUGCUCUUUCACAAGUAAUGGUAGGGAACUAGAGACCCAGUUUUGUGCCUGUGAACUAACAGAACAUGUGAAGAGCAGCUAGAAUUGCACUCUCAAGAGUUCUAGUUCUAAUCUUUUAAUUAUCAGUAUUUCCUUUAGCAUUAACAGUAUGCUUAGUGUUAUACAUAACAAAGACAAAUUCUACCUUGAAAGAAACAUUACGAUCUAAAAUGCAGGUUCAGAGAAAACAACACUAAGGGAUUUAACUUUCUCUCAUUUAGCUUACCUGUAAGUGUAACAUUUGGGUGGAGACCAAAGGUAAGCACUCUGUAACAAGUGAAUUUUCAGAAGACAACCAAGUAAGAAGUUGGGGCUCAAUGCAAUAACUAGGUGGUCAUUCCAGGUCUUGAACAUGGGAGUGGGAGGACACAGCUCCCUCCAUACAACAUUUUGAGGCUGGCAUUGGUUAAUCAAAUGUUCGGUAUGUCCAAUUGUUAAACUUAUAUCAGAUAUGUAUGUGGGGGGGGGGGGGGAGAAAGGGGCGGUGUCUUUAAUCAGAGGCCACAAGUGAAAUAAGUAGUAGAGGGAAGAUUUAUUCCAGUUGCAUGUGCAUCAGUACCCUGGAAUAUUUAAAACUAAAUAUACUAAUAGGCACCCAAUAUUACUCCUGGGAAUGCUUGAGCAGUCUUCUUGUGCACUCUUCCUGAACAGGUUUUGGCAGUGUUCACAGAAGCUUUUGUGGUCAAACAUAACAGGCAAGAGCCAACUGUUAUGAAAUGCUAGAUUAGGCCUUACAUUUGCCAUGUCCUCAUGGGACACUACCUGACAACACUGGGGUUGUAUAUAGCACAGCAGUAUAUUUGCAUACAGUGAAUUGCUCAAAUUAACAACAGAAGGAAACUGUAUACUGAAAACAGCAACCAUUGUACAUACCUAUAUUCGUUAUCACACUAAAAUGUUCUUCAAAAAUAAGGCAAUAUCCCAGAAAUGAAGAGAUUAAUAAAUUAGAAUGUUUCAGGGGUUUUUUAUUUUA